rnacentral:rRNA from 1 species
GUUUGAUCCUGGCUCAGGAUAAACGCUGGCGGCAUGCCUAAUACAUGCAAGUCGAACGGGAGUGCUUGCACUCCAGUGGCGAACGGGUGAGUAACACGUAUCUAAUCUACCUUUUAGUGGGGGAUAACCUUUGGAAACGAAGGAUAAUACCGCAUAAGUUCUUCAUUAUGACAUCAGAAGAAGAGGAAAGAUCCGUUUGGAUCGCUAAAAGAUGAGGAUGCGGCGUAUUAGUUAGUAGGCGGGGUAAAGGCCCACCUAGACGAUGAUACGUAGCCGAACUGAGAGGUUGAUCGGCCACAUUGGGACUGAGAUACGGCCCAGACUCCUACGGGAGGCAGCAGUAGGGAAUUUUUCACAAUGGACGAAAGUCUGAUGAAGCAAUGCCGCGUGAGUGAUGAAGGUCUUCGGA